GCUGGAUUCGCUAGUAAUCGCGCAUCAGCCACGGCGCGGUGAAUACGUUCCCGGGCCUUGUACACACCGCCCGUCAAGCCAUGGGAGCCGGGGGUGCCUGAAGGCCGUGACCGCGAGGAGCGGCCUAGGGUAAAACUGGUGACUGGGGCUAAGUCGUAACAAGGUAAC
rnacentral:rRNA from 1 species